rnacentral:rRNA from 1 species
AUAUCAAUAAGCGGAGGAAAAGAAACCAACAGGGAUUGCCUCAGUAACGGCGAGUGAAGCGGCAACAGCUCAAAUUUGAAAUCUGGCUCCUUUCAGGGUCCGAGUUGUAAUUUGUAGAAGAUGCUUCGGUGUCGGCUCCGGUCUAAGUUCCUUGGAACAGGACGUCAUAGAGGGUGAGAAUCCCGUAUGUGAUCUGGCAGCCUUCGCCAUGUGAAGCUCUUUCGACGAGUCGAGUUGUUUGGGAAUGCAGCUCUAAAAUGGGUGGUAAAUUUCAUUCUAAAGCUAAAUAUUGGCCAGAGACCGAUAGCGCACAAGUAGAGUGAUCGAAAGAUGAAAAGCACUUUGGAAAGAGAGUCAAAACAGUAC